GACAGAGGGUGCGAACGUUGUUCGGAAUUACUGGGCGUAAAGGGCAUGCAGGCGGUCCGACACGUUUUGUGUGACAGCGGGUGGCUUAACUACCCGAGGAUACGAAAGACGGUUGGACUUGAGGACUCGAGAGGGACACGGAAUUCCGGGUGGAGUGGUGAAAUGCGUAGAGAUCCGGAGGAACACCGAAGGCGAAGGCAGUGUCCUGGCGAGUGACUGACGCUGAGGUGCGAAAGCCAGGGGAGCGAACGGG
rnacentral:rRNA from 1 species